rnacentral:rRNA from 1 species
GUGAGUAACGCGUGAGAAUCUGCCUUUAGGUUCGGGACAACAGUUGGAAACGACUGCUAAUACCGAAUGAGCUGAAAAGUAAAAGAUUAAUUGCCUAAAAGAUGAGCUCGCGUCCGAUUAGCUAGUUGGUGGGGUAAAAGCUUACCAAGGCGACGAUCGGUAGCUGGUCUGAGAGGAUGAUCAGCCACACUGGGACUGAGACACGGCCCAGACUCCUACGGGAGGCAGCAGUGGGGAAUUUUCCGCAAUGGGCGAAAGCCUGACGGAGCAACGCCGCGUGAGGGAGGAAGGCUUUUGGGUUGUAAACCUCUUUUCUCAAGGAAGAUAAUGACGGUACUUGAGGAAUCAGCAUCGGCUAACUCCGUGCCAGCAGCCGCGGUAAUACGGAGGAUGCAAGCGUUAUCCGGAAUAAUUGGGCGUAAAGCGUUCGUAGGUGGUUGUGCAAGUCUGCUGUUAAAGCGUGUAGCUUAACUACAUAUAGGCAGUGGAAACUGCACAACUAGAGUGCGUUCGGGGCAGAGGGAAUUCCUGGUGUAGCGGUGAAAUGCGUAGAGAUCAGGAAGAACACCGGUGGCGAAAGCGCUCUGCUAGGCCGCAACUGACACUGAGGGACGAAAGCUAGGGGAGCGAAUGGGAUUAGAUACCCCAGUAGUCCUAGCUGUAAACGAUGGAUACUAGGCGUUGCUUGUAUCGCACCCGAGCAGUGCCGUAGCUAACGCGUUAAGUAUCCCGCCUGGGGAGUACGCACGCAAGUGUGAAACUCAAAGGAAUUGACGGGGGCACCCCACAAGCGGUGGAGUAUGUGGUUUAAUUCGAUGCAACGCGAAGAACCUUACCAAGGCUCGACAUGUCCGGAACCUUUGUGAAAGCAGAGGGUGCCUUCGGGACCCGGAACACAGGUGGUGCAUGGCAGUCGUCAGCUCGUGUCGUGAGAUGUUGGGUUAAGUCCCGCAACGAGCGCAAUCCUCGUUCUUAGUUGCCAGCAUUUCGGAUGGGCACUCUAGGGAGACUGCCGGUGACAAACCGGAGGAAGGUGGGGAUGACGUCAAGUCAUCAUGCCCCUUACGCCUUGGGCUACACACGUACUACAAUCAAAGGACAAAGAGCAGCCAACCAGCGAUGGAGCUCUAAUCUCAUAAACCACGGCUCAGUUCAGAUCGCAGGCUGCAACUCGCCUGCGUGAAGUAGGAAUCGCUAGUAACACAGGUCAGCAUGAGCAGUGAAUUCGUUCCCGGCCCUUGUACAUACCGCCCCUCACACCAUGGAAGUUGGUCACGGCCCGAAGUCAUUACCCUAACCGAAAGGAGGGGGAUGCCGAAGGUAGGACUGAUGACUGGGGUGAAGUCGUAACAAGGUAGCCGUACCGGAAGGUGUGGCUGGAUCACCUCCUUU